GAAUGGGGUUAGCAGAGUUAUCUCACAGAGCUCUCAGAGAAAGGAACCUUUGCUUCUCAGGCCCUGGGGAAAAGCACAGAGGACACUGUAAAUAGCUGCAUGGGACUGGAAAGGUAUUGGUUCUCUGAAGUUGCAAGUCAUCAUCUGGGUUCUAAACCAAAAAUCCCCUUUGGAAAACCAUGACCUAUGCUGAAGAAAUGUGACUUCCCUGACCCAUGUGAGAAAGCUAUAACAAAUAACACCACUAUUCAUGGAAAGUGAAUUCGACUAGUGCAGCAGCAGCUGAUAGCAGACACCUUGUUAGAUUAUGGUCUCUUAACAAUCAUUCUCUUGUCUGGUGCUGUGGAACUUCUUUGUACUCUUUUAUAUAGUGACAGAGAAAUCCAGGAGCCAUAUUUGACGAUGUGUAGUAAUAUUUCACAAGCUAUCUAAUAUAAUACAAUGCUCUUUAUUUCUCUCUCUGUAGACCAUAAUCCAUUUGAGGUAGGAAUUUUCUUCUCAAUUCAUAGAGCUCUCAGCAAAAUGGGGCUCUUUGAGUGCCACGAUAAUAUAAAUAUUUACUACUACUACUACUACUGCAGUUUGAACCAUUUUUGUUAUUUCUAAUAAAUAUUGAUUAAAAAAAGAAA